rnacentral:rRNA from 1 species
UGGGGAAUUUUGGACAAUGGGCGAAAGCCUGAUCCAGCAAUGCCGCGUGUGUGAAGAAGGCCUUCAGGUUGUAAAGCACUUUUGUCCGGAAAGAAAUGGCUCUGGUUAAUACCUGGGGUCGAUGACGGUACCGGAAGAAUAAGGACCGGCUAACUACGUGCCAGCAGCCGCGGUAAUACGUAGGGUCCAAGCGUUAAUCGGAAUUACUGGGCGUAAAGCGUGCGCAGGCGGUUGUGCAAGACCGAUGUGAAAUCCCCGAGCUUAACUUGGGAAUUGCAUUGGUGACUGCACGGCUAGAGUGUGUCAGAGGGGGGUUAGAAUUCCACGUGUAGCAGUGAAAUGCGUAGAGAUGUGGAGGAAUACCGAUGGCGAAGGCAGCCCCCUGGGAUAACACUGACGCUCAUGCACGAAAGCGUGGGGAGCAAACAGGAUUAGAUACCCCUGGUAGUCCACGCCCUAAACGAUGUCAACUAGUUGUUGGGGAUUCAUUUCCUUAGUAACGUAGCUAACGCGUGAAGUUGACCGCCUGGGGAGUACGGUCGCAAGAUUAAAAGCUCAAAUGAA